GGCAAGGCCAGAGCCCCGCACAUGCUUCAAGUUACAGGAUCUGGGUGAUGGGCCUGGCCAAUGUCCUACAGUAACCCCAGGCCUAGCCUGGCCUCAACCAGCAGAUGUUUCCUGCAAUGGAAAGUUGCUGGCCAGGGCUCUCAGUGGAGGAAGAGGAGGGGAGGCUCACAGGGCAUCAGAGCUCUGGGGACAUCUGAAAUUUGAGACUGAAUAGAGCAGGGGUUUCUUAAGAGACAGGUCUCUUCUAAGGAACGCAUCUAUUCGGCGACUUCUCUGCUGCAACAGCAGCCAACAUGGGACUCUCCAAAUGUGUUGGUCACAGAGAAGUUGGACAGAUAGUCUGGAGAAGAGGAGGUCAGCCUGAGGUGCUCUCCCGAGGACUAGGCACCAUGGAGGCAUAGGAUCAAAGCCAAGCAGAGUCACAGGCAAGCUGCUCAGACCUUGAGAGCAAACUGUAAGAGCAGACCUUCUGAACCCUGGUGAGAACGUGGGAAACAAGUCAAAGAAAGAGAUGGCAGCCAGGCCGUGGGGGCACAAAGGGUGCUAUGCCAGUGGGUCUCAAACCUGUGGGCCACGUCCCCUUUGGGGAUCGAAUGACCCUUUCACAGGGGCCGUGGACGAUCGGAUAUUUACAUGAUGGCUCAGGACAGCAAGCACCACAACUACAGUUAUAAAGAAGCAAAGAAAAUAACUUUACAGUUGGGGGUCACCUCAGCAUGAGGAGCUGUAUUAAAGAGUUACAGCAUUAGGAAGGUUGAGAAUCACUGAGCGCGGCAGAGAGGUAGAGAGGGGAAAUAGACAGUGUGGGGACUGGGAGGGUGUGGACUCCCACAAGAUCCUCAAAAUAGUCAAGGCAGCUCUGCUCUACCCCGCUAGCCCACCCUAUCAGGAAGGUCUUGGACUGCUGCAUCACGGGUAAUGUUCCUUCUUCUUAUAAACCUAGUAAUUUCCUAGGCUGAAACUUUAGUAUGUUUAAAAAUUACUCCAGUGAUGCCAAAGAACACAGAUUCUUGGGUCUCAGACCCGAAGAGUCCAGCUAAGAGGAACAUGACAGCCACAGUUAGGUUAAAGAAAGGGGAAAGAAUCCUUGCCCGAGGCAUCUUCUAACUCGCUCCCCUUUCCAUCUUGAAGGACACCUGCCUUCAUCCAACCUAAGGUAAACCCCACUCCAUUAGAUACCAUCUGCCCUAGGAAUGAGUCACCCUUCAGUUCAGUCUUCUCUAGCACUUAGUAUUUCAUAUAUUGUGUAAAAAAUAUCUAUGACAUGAAUGCAUUCCCUAUCGCUUUAUUGGUAUCUUCACACACACACACACACACACACACACACACACACACACACAUCCCUAGUCCAUAAGCCUGACUUCUUGGAACGUAGUCCCCGCCCUGACUCAAUCCUAAGAUCAAGUUCUCUCUGCCCUAUGUGUCAGCGGUCCUCAGAUUUUGUGAUGGGUAAAUGCAGCAACUCUGUUUUCCAGGGUGGUUGCAACACUUCCCUUCAGAUCCAGACCACACCCAAGACACAGGCAGUAUAGACCAUUCCAGAAGGCUGUGGGAACUUAACAGAAAGUCCCUGGAAACUCUGGUACCUAGGCCACAAACACGGGACAGCCGAGAUGGUGAUUAUUUGGACAAGACAGGGACAGUUAACACCUAGAGACAUAUUGCCGUAGACUGAGGUGACUUUCAGUCUGUCUCAGCCCUGGUCUCCACCCCCUCACCAUGGGCUUGGCAGGACAGGGCCAGAACUCCAGGAGCGGGAAUUGGCUCCUAGCUAAACAUUAACUCUACGGCAAACACUGGGUGCCGGGACCAACUGGUACCCUUUCUCGGUCCAGGCUCAGCAGGAAGCAGGGGGUGAGAGGGCCCAGGUGUAAAAAAAUAGAUUUUGGUUCAGCAUUAACCUCACCUAGGAAGAAACAAGUGAAGAGCCACAAAGGAAAUCCUGGUGCUUCAGCCAAAUCCGGUGACACUAAUUUCUGCAAUGCCGCUCAAAAGGAGAUUAUUAGGGAGGAGGCUGGGGUAUUUGCGACAGCUGGUCUACGACAGCUCCCACGCAGAGAGAGCUCCUCCCCACCAAGAUAGGAGCUGCCAUCAUUCUGAGGAGGCCAGAGGCCAGAAGACCCUUGCUCUAGAGUUGAGGAAUUCUGGCUCUGACCUCCCCAGGGGAUCUGAAACUUAACAAUGAAAGAAGGGGAAUGGCUGGAGCCUGCUGUGCCGUUUCCAGCCUCUACUUGUGAACAUUCUGUGUGGGAACCUCACCGACAGGUCAAAGCCUGGAUGUGAGACCAGAGGAUGGAGCCUGUGCACAGUCAGCAGCCUGGAGUGUUUUUUAGCAUAAAUACAGAACUGGGCAGGCACUGUGUCAGCUGGUUCUCCCACCUGCA